rnacentral:rRNA from 1 species
CCUACGGGUGGCUGCAGUGGGGAAUAUUGCACAAUGGGCGCAAGCCUGAUGCAGCCAUGCCGCGUGUGUGAAGAAGGCCUUCGGGUUGUAAAGCACUUUCAGCGGGGAGGAAGGCGGUGAGGUUAAUAACCUCAUCGAUUGACGUUACCCGCAGAAGAAGCACCGGCUAACUCCGUGCCAGCAGCCGCGGUAAUACGGAGGGUGCAAGCGUUAAUCGGAAUUACUGGGCGUAAAGCGCACGCAGGCGGUCUGUCAAGUCGGAUGUGAAAUCCCCGGGCUCAACCUGGGAACUGCAUUCGAAACUGGCAGGCUAGAGUCUUGUAGAGGGGGGUAGAAUUCCAAGUGUAGCGGUGAAAUGCGUAGAGAUCUGGAGGAAUACCGGUGGCGAAGGCGGCCCCCUGGACAAAGACUGACGCUCAGGUGCGAAAGCGUGGGGAGCAAACAGGAUUAGAUACCCUAGUAGUC